rnacentral:lncRNA from 1 species
CACACACAUAUAUACAUAUAUACACACACACACACACAAACAAUGCCCGGCUCUUUUAUAUGUAUGUGUGUGUGUGUGUAUAUAUAUAUGUACAUAUAUAUACACACACACACAUAUAUAUAUAUACACACACACACAUAUAUAUACACACACACACAGGUGUCUACCUGGCCUGUGUCUCCAGGGUCUUGGGAGCAUCUCUGGGGCCUACUCCCCUCAGUGCAGGUUCAGCAUUCCCAGUCCUGACAGCUGCAGCCAGCAGUGCCCACCCCCACCCAGACAUUUAUAACCAGGACAAGCCCUCAGUUAAGCAGAUGGGGGGCUCACUCAAGGGGGAACCUGUCUAUGAAUGCAGGGUUCAACCCCAGCUGCAAACGAUAGCGGGGGUGGGGGGGUACAGUGUACCAGGCAGUGUAUCUGUCUAGGAACGCGGGGGCCACAGGGUAUCAGGCAGUGCAUCUAAGGCCUGCACUUUCCUGUCUGUGAAAUGGGGACGGUAACGACCUCACAGCUUCCUACAAGGUUUUCUGAAGCGACAUCCUGUGCCAAAUCAUCUGCGGCAAGUGUGCAACAGACGGUAGGUGCCACCUAAGAAAGUGACACAGCCUGUGCUGGCGAGGGCUUGGAGAGAAAGGCCCUCUUAGGCGAGUCUAUUUGUCCGACAUAUUUGCCAACAGCCCUUUAUGGGCUUGGCACAGGGAAGAGAGCGGGUGACAUACUGUUCUCAUGGAGGGCAGGGAGUGCUUCACGAUGACCCAGGAGAAAUUAAGUAGGAAGUACACACUAACUUAUGAGUGUUUUUUUUCUCACAAAGGUGACAAACUGAACACAAACUAACAGACCAGUUUGAAAAAUCAAGAAACAUCUAUAUAGUGAAAUUCUUUUUGUUGGGGGUGGGGGGUGGACAGAGUCUUGCUCUGUCACCCAGGCUGGAGAGCAGUAGCAGAACCACGGCUCACUACAGCCUGGAACUCCUGGCUUCAAGGGGUCCUCUGGCCUCUGGCCUCAGCCUCCCAAAGUGCUGGGACUACAGGAGCACAUCAGCAUGCUUGGCCUAAUUAUUAUUAUUUUUUUUUUGAGACAGAGUCUCACUGUCGCCCAGGCUGGAGUGCAGUGGUGCGGUCUCGGCUCACUGCAACCUCGACCUCCCAGGUUCAAGCGAUUCUCCCACCUCGGCCUCCCAAGUAGCUGGGAUUACAGGCACGUACCACCACACCCAGCUAAUUUUUGUAUUUUUAGUUAGAGAUGGGGUUUCACCAUAUUGGCCAGGCUGGUCUUGAACUCCUGACAAGUGAUCCACCCAUCUUGGCCUCCCAAAGUGCUGGGAUUCCAGGCACGACCCACCAUGCCCGGCCGGGAAUUCUUUAAGGGUGAUGAAUCAUCACAUGCACAGCCGUGAGAAAAACUCCCUGGCACCUGAGUGAGAGCCGCAGACAAGCCGGCCAGGGCAGUGGCCACAGCCUCCAACGCAUCCCGUUCACUAGUGCAAAACAGCUGUAACGUGGAGCUUUUCUGGACAGCACCCUUUCUAGUGUCUUUACUUUCUAUUUUUACAUAAUGUUUAAGUUUCCUGUAUGUGUAUUACUUUUGUAAUCAAACACAUUAAGGUAUCUUCAUUUUGGAAAAAAAGUUGAUUUACCUUAUUAUAAAGGUAUAUUAAGUACCACUUAAAUGUCUAUAUCAGCAUACGCAAAACAAAACCACGGCAUCAAAAUUUGAUACCCAAGGAGAGAAAUGCCUCCUUUACAACUUACACACGAUUACAACCGCCUAUUAAGUUUUAUGGACAUGGUUACAGAAUUCUUAUUAAAAUAUGUACAAUUACCUAUUCAACUUCAUAUAACAACUUAACCUCAAAAUUACUACUCAAAAAAUAAAAUGAGGCCUAGACAACACAGACUGUCUCACAGAUGACUGUGUACACGUACAUGAAAUGAGCAAACUGGACUUUGUUCUUUGACCUCCUCUUUCCCAAUUAGUACAUUUCCAUUAACUGUUAAUUAUAGAACUUUUGUAAUGCAAUUAACACACAUCAUUUGAUAGUAGUCAUAAAAAGGCUGAUCUUAGUAUCCACUGUAAGGGACCCCGUCAUUUAAAUAAGAAAUGUAAGUGAGAGACUCUGUUUAGAGAGAAUUUUCUAGUGGUCUUCUGAGCCUGCCAGAGAGAUGAGACCUCUCAGGCAAGGGCACAGUGCAGGGACCCACAGAUAGUAGGGAGUCACCUGUUAAACACUUUCAAUCUUAGCUCUUCAAGAGCCAAAUAAGCCACUUGGUAUUAUGGGACAGGCAUAUAAAAAGGAAAAACGUGUCUUGUUUACAGAGAUUCCAAACAAUGAAGACGUGGCACAGCUUAAAAAUAAACACUGAAGAGAAGCACCCUACUGGGCUCCACAGAACUGACCUUAAGGGAAUUAUGACCCUAAGGCUGUAGAAAAACUCACAGUAUCAACAGCAGAACCUGCCAACUUCACCGCGAACAAAACGGGAGCCAAUGCCCAUUCCAAUCAUUUCCUCCUUACAUGAAGAAACCCCAGCACCCUCCAAGGCCCAACCGAUGAUCCGCACGUCCUAGACAAGCCUUUGCGAGGCUCACAUAUGCACAUGCAACAUGGGCUGGGCUGUCUGGUAACCAUGGGUACGGCUGGGCAGUCAAUCACAAAUUAUCUUAUUUGUGCCCUGUCUUCUCACCACAGCACAAUGAGCUCUGCUUGACAUAGUCUGAAUUCAAUCAACUACUAAUAAGGGACAGCCUCUGGUGGAAAGCCUGAAAAAAUUCAAGAUACGCGCUUUUCCAAAACAAGAGGUAUCUUAUGAAACUUGCUGAAACAAGUCUACAAGAACAGACAUCUCCUCCCCAUGUACACAGCAAGUAGGAAAACAAGUGUGCAUUAAGCAGGGAGUUUCACAACAGGGCUGUGUCUGUCUUCCUGGGUGACACUUCUGAGAUGUCUAUGCCGUAUUUAAAAUAGUGAAAUAGUCACAGACACACAUACACUAACAGCAACCCAAAGGGCCACUAAAGAGCCCUAGGCUCCAGGUAAACGAGUUGGCAACACCUGAUUUAAAGGAAGGAGCUGGAAUAAUCUCUCAAGUUCCCCAGUGAACUUGUCUCCAGGACUGGGACAGGGGCCACCUUGGUCACUGCUGUAUCCCUCGUGCUAACAGUAAGCAAUGAAUGCUCAUUUAAAAAAAGACUGUAUUUACUCCUUAAAAGGCACUGCUAAGGACCUUUCUCAGAACUGUAUUUCAACCAAGUCAUAUGUGG